UGAAUACGAGACGCUACGGCGUCGAAGCAGUCUAUGUCAUACUUCCAAGAAAAGCUUGCACUGUCAUAAACAAACAAUGCCUGUACCAUAACCGACACAGGUGGGUAGGUAGAGUAUACUAAGGGGCGCGAGAUAACUCUCUCUAAGGAACUCGGCAAAAUGACUCCGUAACUUCGGGAGAAGGAGUGCCUUAUUUAUAAGGUUGCAAUAACAAGAUCCAAGCAACUGUUUAUCAAAAACACAGGUCUCCGCUAAGUCGUAAGACGAUGUAUGGGGGCUGACGCCUGCCCAGUGCCAGAAGGUUAAAGAAGUUGGUUAGCAUUAGCGAAGCUGAUAACUGAAGCCCUGGUGAACGGCGGCCGUAACUAUAACGGUCCUAAGGUAGCGAAAUUCCUUGUCGGGUAAGUUCCGACCCGCACGAAAGGCGUAAUGAUUUGGAUACUGUCUCGGAGAGGGGCUCGGUGAAAUAGACUUGUCUGUGAAGAUGCGGACUACCUGCACCUGGACAGAAAGACCCUAUGAAGCUUUACUGUAACCUGAAAUUGAAAUUGGACUUUAUUUGCGCAGUAUAGGUGGGAGGCGUUGAGAAUAUUCUUGCGGGAAUAUUGGAGCCAUCAGUGAGAUACCACUCUUGUAAUGUUAGAUUUCUAACUUUGAAUCAUUAUCUGGUCAAAGAACAGUUUCAGGCGGGCAGUUUGACUGGGGCGGUCGCCUCCUAAAUGGUAACGGAGGCGCACAAAGGUUUCCUCUGAACGGGUAGAAAUCGUAUCUAGAGUGUAAAGGCAUAAGGAAGCUUGACUGUGAGACCUACAAGUCGAGCAGGGACGAAAGUCGGUCUUAGUGAUCUGACGGUGCUGAGUGGAAAGGCCGUCACUCAACGGAUAAAAGUUACUCUAUGGAUAACAGGCUGAUCUCCCCCAAGAGUUCACAUCGACGGGGAGGUUUGGCACCUCGAUGUCGGCUCAUCGCAUCCUGGGGCGGUAGUACGUCCCAAGGGUUGGCUGUUCGCCCAUGAAAGCGGUACGCGAGCUGGGUUCAGAACGUCGUGAGACAGUUCGGUCCAUAUCCGGUGUAGGCGUUAGAAUAUUGAGAGGAGCCUUCUUUAGUACGAAAGGACCGAGAAGGACAUACCUCUGGUGUACCAGUUAUCGUGCCAACGGUAAACGCUGGGUAGCUAUGUAUGGAGAGGAUGACCGCUGAAAGCAUCUAAGUGGGAAGCCCACCUCAAGAUAAGUAUUCUCAUC
rnacentral:rRNA from 1 species